rnacentral:rRNA from 1 species
GCCACUAACGAAGCAGAGAUGCAUUAGGUGCCCGUAAGGGAAAGUGGACACAGGUGCUGCAUGGCUGUCGUCAGCUCGUGUCGUGAGAUGUUGGGUUAAGUCCCGNAACGAGCGCAACCCUUUGCCAUUAAUUGCCAUCAUUUAGUUGGGCACUUUAAUGGGACUGCCGGUGACAAACCGGAGGAAGGUGGGGAUGACGUCAAGUCCUCAUGGCCCUUAUGGCCAGGGCUUCACACGUAAUACAAUGGUCGGUACAGAGAGUUGCCAAGCCGCGAGGUGGAGCUAAUCUCAGAAAGCCGAUCGUAGUCCGGAUUGUUCUCUGCAACUCGAGAGCAUGAAGUCGGAAUCGCUAGUAAUCGCGGAUCAGCAUGUCGCGGUGAAUACGUUCCCGGGCCUUGUACACACCGCCCGUCACACCAUGGGAGUGGGUUUUACCAGAAGUAGUUAGUCUAACCGCAAGGGGGACGAUUACCACGGUAGUAUUCAUGACUGGGGUGAAGUCGUAACAAGGUAAGCGUAGUGCU